GAGAGAAUACCAUGCCAUUGAAGGAGCUUGUCAUAAUCAAUAUUGUUGAUACUUCUCCAGCUCUUGGUCUAAUUGGCUAGAUAUAAAUCAGACAAAUUAAGGACUAGAAAAGUUUAGCUAUUUCUCAAGAAGAUAUUCCAAAAGUCUUGGAUGAUAGGGAAUUCAAACAAAAUAUCUUGUUGUUACACACUUCACAAUUUGGAUUUAAAUUGAUACCCAUUCUUGAGAGAGUGCGUCCG
rnacentral:lncRNA from 1 species